rnacentral:rRNA from 1 species
GACGAACGCUGGCGGCGUGCUUAACACAUGCAAGUCGAACGGAAAGGCCCUGCUUUUGUGGGGUGCUCGAGUGGCGAACGGGUGAGUAACACGUGAGUAACCUGCCCUUGACUUUGGGAUAACUUCAGGAAACUGGGGCUAAUACCGGAUAGGAGCUCCUGCUGCAUGGUGGGGGUUGGAAAGUUUCGGCGGUUGGGGAUGGACUCGCGGCUUAUCAGCUUGUUGGUGGGGUAGUGGCUUAUCAAGGCUUUGACGGGUAGCCGGCCUGAGAGGGUGACCGGCCACAUUGGGACUGAGAGACGGCCCAGACUCCUACGGGAGGCAGCAGCGGGGAAUAUUGCACAAUGGGCGGAAGCGUGAUGCAGCAACGCCGCGGGCGGGAUGACGGCCUUCGGGUUGUAAACCGCUUUCGCCUGUGACGAAGCGUGAGUGACGGUAAUGGGUAAAGAAGCACCGGCUAACUACGUG